rnacentral:rRNA from 1 species
AUUGAACGCUGGCGGCAGGCCUAACACAUGCAAGUCGAACGGUAACAGGAAGAAGCUUGCUUCUUUGCUGACGAGUGGCGGACGGGUGAGUAAUGUCUGGGAAACUGCCUGAUGGAGGGGGAUAACUACUGGAAACGGUAGCUAAUACCGCAUAACGUCGCAAGACCAAAGAGGGGGACCUUCGGGCCUCUUGCCAUCGGAUGUGCCCAGAUGGGAUUAGCUAGUAGGUGGGGUAACGGCUCACGUAGGCGACGAUCCCUAGCUGGUCUGAGAGGAUGACCAGCCACACUGGAACUGAGACACGGUCCAGACUCCUACGGGAGGCAGCAGUGGGGAAUAUUGCACAAUGGGCGCAAGCCUGAUGUAGCCAGGCCGCGUGUAUGAAGAAGGCCUUCGGGUUGUAAAGUACUUUCAGCGGGGAGGAAGGGAGUAAAGUUAAUACCUUUGCUCAUUGACGUUACCCGCAGAAGAAGCACCAGCUAACUCCGUG